GGAGAAGGCAUAUUCAUUAUCCCACAGAAACGUUUGGCAGAAGCUCUUCCUUGUCCUAUUAAUCUCAUGCCAUAGACAAGCCUUUUAUUAACUUCAAAACCUUUAUUUAGUUUUUUUGAAGUAUAGAAACAGUGCUUCCAAUCACAACUAGAGCAGACAAUACUAAGAUAUGAUGAGCACCCUUGCCUUCUUUUAUUAUCUUCUUCCAAAUACAAACAAUUUUCGUUACAGUUUUGACAAGCAACUUGUUUCAACACGUUAGAAAGUAUUUCAAGGCUAAAGAUACGAUAUCCAUCUACCUUUGUAUUAGCUUUAGCUGUAGGUUUUAGACGGUUACUCAACUUCCUUGCCGAAGCACUAGCAUGACUUGUUGAAGUCGAACCUUGGUCUGUGCUGGUUAAAUCACUAUCGCCACACUUGGUCUUUUUACCCUGUGACCACUGAUUACCUUGAUAUUUUCGUUUACGAGAUUUUGAAGCAGAUCGUGGCAUACUUAUAACAGUAAAUCGAUCGACAAAUCCAAUAUAAAACAGCAAAGAAUAAGCAAUUUCUGUAAAUUUACUUUUCAAAAUAUCCCGA